GUAUUUUCAUCACAAAAUUUAUUUUUCUAGGUGCAAUGUUUUAAGGGGAAGACUUACACUAUGAAGCUAGCCCAGAAGAGGGUGACUAGAGUACUGAGGAGUUUCUACCUGGAAGGGCUGUAAGACAACUGCUAUGUUGUGAGCGGCUCUAUGGAGAGGCCCAUGUGGAGGGAAGUGAGGAAGGCCUCUGGCCAACAGUCCAGGAGGAAGUGAAGCCCUCAGUCCAACAGCCUGUGUGGAACUGAACCCUGCAAACAACUCUGUGUGUGAGCUUGGAAGUGGAUCCAUAUUCAGUCAAACCUUGAGAUGGGACACCAUGCUCUGCUAACACUUGAUUGUGGUCCCAGCUAGGCCACUGCUGAAGUCUUGACUCAGAGAAACGAUGAUAUAGUAAAUGUUUGUUGUUUCAAGUUGGUAAGUUUUGGGAUAAUUUUUUAUAUAGUGAUAAUUUUUUAUAUACUUUAAAAUAACACAUUGCCCUAUCCUUUGGUUACACUUUUCUCUUGGAACUCUGCUUGCCCAUAUAUUACAGAAAUAUUUUUCAGAUCAUGGGCUGAAAGGUGGAUUAUGGAUGCAAUGUUUAAAUUUAGCAAUGUCAUUUAUGACUGUUCAUAUGAGCUUUGCUGCAUAAAAUGUUGAUAUUAAUUUGUUUCCCUUUAAGACAUUCUUAAUGUUUACCUCUCAGUAUUUUCUUUGUAAUCAAUUAAUGUAAGAUGAAUAUAGUUUGUAGGUUUUACCUUUCUUGAUUCGUAUACAAAACACACAACAUCCAACCAUUGUUAUUUAAAGAUUAUCUAGGAGGAGAUGAUGGAAACUCUGUUUUGGGCCACCUUCUUUACACAUUGGGUCUAUUUCCCCUAACUUGAGUAUAUAUUAAACUAGUGGGGGAUUGAGCUACAAAAAUGCUACUUGGUGAGAAUUUUAUUAAUACAAAUACUCAACUCUGAAGUUACGUUUUUGUGGAAAGUUAUCACUUUGGAAUUUGAAUUUUCUUGGAGCUAAGCCACUGGUAGUUGUAAAAGCUACACCUGUAAAUUUGCUCCCUAGAAGAUACUUUCGUUUAGUGACCACUUGUUUCUCUGUGGAUAAAUUCAAUUAUAAAUUACAAUCGAAUUGACGUUUUCAUAGCAUCCUUCACUCUCCAAGUAUCUCAAGUCCUCUGUGAAUUAUAAAGUAAUUACAGUGCUCAAAGGACAGUUUCAUAAUUGUGUCCAUGAGCACAGACUUUCCUCUAUGUUCGAGAAGGGCUCAUUCCCAGCCGGGAACAUUAAGUUGGAUUUUAUUGAGACUGGGGACUGCUAGUCCAGACAGCUGGGUGAUCCCCUGCGCUAUUUUGAAAAGUAUCCUGGGAUCUUUAAUUUCCACCUGGAUGGUCAGGGAGGUGAGAGAACGGCCCUCACUGGGUGUGACCUUGUAUCCCACUUGGGGUCUUGAACCAGGGGACCCCCAACCCCAGAGGUGAGACAUGCAAUAUGGUCAAUUAUACAACCUCUUAAUUAUUUUUUGCUGAAUCUCAAGUGAGUUCUCAUGGCCUGCUCUCUCCCGGGUGGGUUCAGAAGGUGGCCAAGAAGAAAUGUUAGAAAAUUCCCAGAGAGCCAUUUCAUGAGAAUGUUUUCUUUGGUUUAUACCUGAUACUGUUUUGUUUUUGUUGUUGCUUUUUAAUAACUUUUUUUUCUUUUUGUGGGGUCAUUUGCGUAAUACACAGGUGACGAACACUCAAGGUUAUUUGGUCGCAUGCCACCAAAUAACUUUCCUUUGGCACAUCUGCAGUGAAGGAGUCUUUCUGUCUGUCUCCUUUUGUUCCUCAUCAUCUAUUAGCUUGGCACAGCUGACUGAGCUGUUAAAUGAUUACUGCAUAUUUUGUACCUCACCUUGAGAGGCUUUGGUAUAAAAAGGUGCUAAUUAAGCUGAAGCUUCUGGCCCUCUUGCCUAUGUGGGCCCCAGGAAGCGAAGCAAAAAGACUUUAGGGAGCUGGAGCUUGUGUGUGUGUGUGUGUGUGUGUGUGUGUGUGUGUGUGUGUGUGUGUGUGUGUGUGUUUCGUUUUCAGCAUUUUGAGGAAUUGUUACUGGAACUUAUAAAAUAAUUGUUUUAGACCUUAUAAACACAGCAAAUUCUUCAAACUACGUAUGAGGCUGACUCAAAAAGCCACGUAAAGGUAGCUUGGCGAAUCAACUAACUGCUGACCAGUUUGUGGUGAUCGUAAGUCUAUAUAUGCUGGAUUUGGCGAUCGUAAGUCUAUAUAUGCUGGAUUUGAAUAUUUUCUGUAUUUAAAGAAAAAUAAGUACAUUCUAAGAAUAGUUGUCAUCUCCCUCUGUAGACUUGCCCCGUAGAUAUUUGAAAUGGGGAUUAACAUAUUUAAGAGUAGCAGGAAGUGCUAUUUCAUCAGUGUCUAGAAUGGGAGGCGAAUUCAGUCCCUGCCUGGACUUGUUGACUAGCUCGCUGGGUUGUGAAAACCACGGCAUUCUCCUGGGAAUUUGUUCCAGGGCACUGACUGCAUUUCUUCUGAAGCUAAAGCACUUAGCUUUGCUUCCAUGCCUUUUAAUAUAAUUUGUAGGCUUCAGCAGAUUUCUAAAGUACACCACUUGAUAUCUUUCACAGCUCAAGGUAAAUUCUGCAGCACGAACUUAUAGAAUUUUUUUCUUUUACCUGGGGUGAGAACAUACCUUUUCCUAGUGCUAUUUUUUUUUUCUGGGCUACCUUUCAUCUGUUUACAUGAAUUCCACUUCUUCUCGCUGUGUUAAAGAAAUCCCCUAAGCUGUCUACAUAGGUGUGAAACUUUUGGUUGUGAUUUCCUUGAAGUUAGUUGGAACUGGAACAUUUUUUUCUGUGUCCUGAAUGGCUCACACAUUCCCUAACACAGAAUGGAUACUCAGCGAACAGUUGUUGAAUCAGUGAACGGUAAUGGCUCAGUUCUGUCAGACAAUGGAUUGAAUUAUUUUUACACCUUUAAUUCACUCAUGGACUGAAUUAACCUACUCAUGGGCUGUUUGGGGCAUCAAGUGAUAUUUAUACAUUUCUGAAGAAUGUGGAAUCACCAGGGUUAACAGUGUUUGCAGGUGGCGUUCGAUUGCAGGGGCCCAAGGAACCACGGCUGAAUUCCGCAUGGACAUAGGCCAUUUUCCACCAGCAAAGUUAUGAGAACUUUUUUUGUUUUGGUAACUGAUGUGAAAUUUUCAGUUCCGAAUGACAUCCAGAAACUCUCCUUCUGCAGCAGAUGAAUGUUUUGAGGGAAUUUGAGAGGAGGGUUUGUCUUUUAUCUCUCACCUGCACGAGGACACUUGCAGUCUCUUAAGAGAUGUUCUCUUUUUGAAAUGGUGGAAGGACAGAAGCAUCAGCCAGCCCGUUCAUGCUUGGGGACAGAGAGGGAGCUCAGAGCUUAGGGGAGCACAGGUCACUCUAAUGAAUGACAGCUGUAAUAAUAAAGACAUGCCAUCCAUGCUACUUUUUGCAGAAACCAGAAACAUCCUUGUGAAAGUUAAAGGGAAAAGAAAAACGUGUACUUUGAGGGGGGUGUUAACGGGGGACAGGAGGUGGCGACAUAAAAGACUGGUUUAAUGUGUCUCGUUGUAGCCCCUAAGGCUUUACCUGACCCCAUCACUGUCACAACACCUUCUUCGGGACUGACAGUCUUGGUAAUUGAUGGGUUGGUGGGGGCUUUUUUCUGCAAACACAUUAAGGCAGGAGGGAAUACUCUGGCCCCCACCUCCCCACGCCUGGCACGGGGGACCUGGAGGCGAGCAGACACCAGGCCCGGCGGUGUUGGGGGCAGAAGGGAUCAAUUCUGUCAACCAGACUGCCCAGCUACUGUCAGGCACUGGGACCCUUCACCUGCUCCUUGGAGUCAUUAGAACUCCCAAAUCUCUUUGCAGGCCUUUUCUAUUAGACACAUACUCCCAUGUUUUGAUUUUUUGCUCCCAAAGUCAUUUUUUUAAAUAAUUACCUGCAUCGAACCACACUUACCAUCUGUGGGCUGAGAGCGGGCAAAUGAUUUAUUAGUCUUGGUUUCUAACGGUGCUGAGCAGCUUGGGAUCGAUCUUGCUGGUGACACACUCGGCAGAUGCACCGAUGGGUGGGAGGGUCAAUGUCAGGAUGAAGCUUCUUGCGGAGCUGACAUGCACGUGGGGACCCCAGGUGUGGUGUUUAGUUGGUAGACUGUGACAUUGCAAAAGUGGAGUCUCAAGCCAUGGCGGAUAACAGGCGGCAGAAAAAGCAGUGAGGGAGCUUCUUGGGAUGUUUUACUUUAAGUAGAAAGUAAAACUGUGCAUGAAAAGAGGGGACAGAGUAUGCAACCCAAAUCAUCGCCAAGGCUCUUGGUUUCUUCUGUGCACACUGCCUGCCUUGUAUCCAAGCGUUUGACUGUGCAGAGGCCAGUCAUACUGGGGGACCCUGAGCACUACCCUUGGCAUUUGGGUAUAUCCUGAUCAAUAUAGCCAUUUCCACUGCUUGACAUUAUGUUUUGGGGGCUAGUUUUUUAAAGAUCAAUGAUUGAAUUGCUGCUCGGCUGAUUGGAUAUGUCUUCUCGGAGACUCACCUGUCCUCCCCGAAGAGAUGCUGACUACACAACAGCAGUCACUGUGCUGGGCACACGGGCAGUGUUCAGGAGACGUGGCUUCCUUUCUUCUUCUUUCAUUUCUUCCUGCCCAGAACAGCAAGGCUGAGACUGAUAAUAAAAUUCCUGGAACAUGGAGAAACUCAUGUGGGGAGAAAAGAAGAAAUGUAUUGUGACUUCCAUGGGCUUUUGGCACUUUUGGACCUCCCUCCUCCUCUUUUCCAUAAAAAAUGUAUUUUAAGACAUAUUGGUAUAAAGAUGAGAUUAUUCAUAGUACAUAUUAAAAUGUUUUCCCCUACCUAAAAGUUUGUGGUUUUAUUGUCUUCUUGUUUUUAAAAUAAAUUAAAAUAUUUUCAAAGGCCGUUAGAAGAACCGUGGGCCCUGGGCUUGGUGCCUGCUGUGCCUCAUAAAUCAGGCCUGGAGAAGAGACAUCAGUGACAUUUUAGUGUCAGGUAGAAAAUGUAAAAUAUCAUGAUUGUUUUCCAAUGAUAUACUAAGUAAGACACAUAAGAUGUGUUUUAAUUUUUUUCUUGAUGUAUGCUGUUGUCUUUUAGUUAUAAAUGCUGAGUACUGUUAAAAGAUAAACUGAGGCACAAUAAAAUUUGAAGAGUUUAUUUGAGCAAACAAUGAUUUGUUACCGAAACACCAGGGGUUCAUCUGGGUCCUGCUGCUUGCCACACAGAAAGCCAAUCACUGAG
rnacentral:lncRNA from 1 species